rnacentral:rRNA from 1 species
GUGGGGGAUAUUGCACAAUGGGGGGAACCCUGAUGCAGCAACGCCGCGUGAGUGAAGAAGUAUUUCGGUAUGUAAAGCUCUAUCAGCAGGGAAGAUGAUGACGGUACCUGCAUAAGAAGCCCCGGCUAACUACGUGCCAGCAGCCGCGGUAAUACGUAGGGGGCAAGCGUUAUCCGGAUUUACUGGGUGUAAAGGGAGUGUAGGCGGUACGGCAAGUCUGAUGUGAAAACCCUAAGCUCAACUAAGGGAGUGCAUUGGAAACUGUCGGACUAGAGUGUGGGAGAGGCAGGCGGAAUUCCUAGUGUAGCGGUGAAAUGCGUAGAUAUUAGGAGGAACACCAGUGGCGAAGGCGGCCUGCUGGACCAAGACUGACGCUGAGGCUCGAAAGCGUGGGGAGCAAACAGGAUUAGAAACCCUAGUAGUCC